rnacentral:lncRNA from 1 species
AAUUAUUGGUUAAGGGUCUUUGAAAUGGGGCGUUGCGCCUUACUGUAUUUUUUUCAAUAGUUUUUUUAAUCUUUAUUAAUUUUCUUUUAUCUUUUUUUUUAUGUUAUUAGGAUUUAUUUAUUUUGGCCCAUUUGGUCCCAAGUUACUUUGGAUAUUUGGACCGUUACUUAAUUGUUUCUACACUCCUUUAUUUUAUUUAUUUAUCUUUUAUUAUUUUUCUCAUUU